AGCUCCUUCUCCCAGGCAUGGCCAAUCUCUGGGAGAGAGGGGCCGAAGAAGUGGGUCUCAGGGCGAUGUCACCGGCCGACUGGGCAGGCGGGCACUGGGCCCGAGGCAGGCAGAGGCCUGGUGUGGGAGGAGCAGGGAGCACACACAGGCCGUGCCAUAAAUAGCCCGGGCUGGCUGCGCUGUCUGUCCCAGGAAGGCGGCCUCAGGCCGGCGUGGGCAUUAGGGAAGAGCUGGAAAACAGAGUGAGGCUCGAGCCCUCCAACACUGAGCCCACCCUGGAGCUGAUGACCCGCAGGGUUGAAAAGGGAUCGCCCAGGUCGUGGGAGCCAACCUGCAGUUUCACAGCCAGGCUCCGGCGGCCUGGGCUCUGACCCCACAGGGAGGGCCUGUGGGUGCCCGGCGAUUUUUCCUGCCCUCCCAAAUGCCACCGGUCAAGCUUCUGCCUCCCACACCCAAGGAAAGGGUCCACAGUAGGAGCGAAUGGCUAAGAAGGCUCCAUUCCACGAGGCUUUCCUUCUAGGUGUUCUCCAGAAGACAGACUUCGGCCUGGGGAGAGAGGGCUCAGCCCACGAGCAGCCAUAGAAACUCCCCGUGCCCACCACGGGUCUGACCCCCCCAUCUCCCAUCCUUACCUGCCAACGUUAGAGGGGUCCCAGGUGGGGAGUGAGGAGGAGGAAGUGGCCCAUUCAGGCACAUUGGGGUAACAAGACUACUUACAUUUGGGAAGAUAAGCAGGAUAACAAGGAGAAAGAGAACUUCAAACCCGGCCCCCCACUGUCCCUUGUGCUGGCCACCUAUACACCCUUUCUCUCUAGAACCGUCUACUCCACCCCGCCACCGCCUGAGAGUCCCUAACCCUGACACACUCCUGUAAGGAUCAUCAAGCCCUAGAGUACCAGGGACCUUGGUCCAAUCUCUCCUCGCUUUACAAGGAAACUGAGGCCCAGAUACAGGAGAGACUUCCCGUAGACCUUCCUUCUCCCCUCGCUUUUUCCUGCUCUUUCUUUUCCUAUUUUUUUUUUUUUUCUUUCUUAAAAACCCCAAGCAGGAAGAGAGCUGGGGAGCGCGGACAGGAACGGACAGGAGAUGAAGACGCAGGUAACACUUUUAGGCUCCAGCCCUUGAGGACACCAGGUAAGCUGGUCCUGCCACAGGCCCUUCUCCUGGAUUUCUCGUCCCCUUCCUAGCUGGACUCCAGGGCGGAGCAGAGGGAGGUGUCUAAGGGGGCCGUAGAGGGCUGACUCCCUGGUUAGUGUUGACCCAUUAUCCUCCCCCCACACCCCCAAGCCUCACCUUCAGGGACUCCUCCUCCUCCCUGUACACCGGCUCCAGCUUGGCCAGGUGCCCCAAGAACUCUGAGGCCACCAGGGGCCGCUUGGACAGCUGCAGGACCCGCCGCUCAGUCAGCACGGAGUGGAUGGCUUGGAGAAUGUGACCAGGGUCUCACCGAAGCGAGAAGCGUAAUCGGGCCGAGGCAUGAAGAGGAUCCGUUCGUAGGUCCGGCACAGCCCCUUCAUCUCCGCCAGCUGCGGCUGGUCACUCGUCCCUAUCAGCAUCACGCGGUCUCCUGGGCUCAGCAGUCGCAAGGCCUUGGUGAGAUCCUUCUUUAUUCGCUUUGGGUCCAUCUGCUCUGGGGCAGGGUGGGGGCGGGAACGUGGUGACUUGUAUGGGCUUCUGCAUUCUCUCGGAGCGCGUGUCCACACCCAGCCUCCAGUGGACCCCGGGAGGGAUCCAGGGAGGUGGCCAGGAGGCCCCUGUCCUGCUUCCAGGAUAAGCCCAAGGCAGCAGGAGAAGAGGGAAUUUGUCCAAGGCCCCACAGCGGGUGAGGUUUGGAGUUGACUUGAGCAAGCCCACGCCGGCCUUGCCCCUGGCUCCGGCUGCUACCCAGGUCCCGCACCUCCUUCUCUUCUUUUGGGACCCUCUUAUAGAAAUUCUUCUCGGCAUUCCCAAUCCAGAUCACAGAGGGCUGUAAGAGCCGAGCCACCUGGACAGGUCAGAGAAUAAAAACCUGACGUCGGAUGUCCCUGGGCAAGGGUCACCUCCCCCGUCUGGUCCAAAGGCUGACCUUGGAGCUCCGGUCCCCACUUCCCACGCAGCGUCCACCCCUUCUCUCAGCCUGCUGCCAUCCGCCACACCUCCCUAGGAACAGACUCACGCCCUCCCCGCCAUGUGGGGACCCUGCGUAUUAAGCCUCAUCAUAAAGAAAACCUAUCAUGAAAGAAACUGCUCUGCUCCCCACUGCCCGCCAUGCUCCCCAUCCACAAGGCUUCAGAAAUCCACAAGGUCCUCCCAGGGGUUGGUAAGGAGACCUCAGCAGCCCCAGACAUCACACCGAAUAGGCAGAUGAGGGAUCUCCUAAGUGUAAAGCACACCCUGCCCUGUGGGCACAGCCCGAGAACGAGAGGUGCUGAAGUCGGGGGACCCAGACCUUAAAGACGAUAUGCACGAUCAUCUGUGUCCCCGUCUUGCCAGGAUAUUUGCUCUGCAGGUUGCUGGGGGACAGGUCAAAGAGGUUGGCGCCCGUUUCUGUGCACACCGCCUUGACCAGCAUCUUCUUCCCCAUUCCAGAGGGGCCCACCAGGAGGAUCGAGCGGAUGAAGGGGGCCAUGGAGUGUAUAUCUGGGGAGCCUGAGAGAGGAAACAGGGGCCAGAGGAAGACAGUAGGACAGUAGGGGGGGGGGGUGGAAGCCACAGUGUAAGGUGAGGCUGAAGGCCCAAGGCAGGGUGGGAUGAAGUUUGGAUCCUAGGGGCCUGCCGACCCCCAGUGUGGGGGGCCCCAUCCCCAGGCAGGCCUGCUGAGAGAGGCAGCCUAGGGGGCUUCCAAGGACUUCCCAGGUACAAUUAUGAAGCGUUCUCUACAGGGUCAAAAGGGAGCCUUCUAGCCCCUUCCAACACCCUUUCUGUUUUCUGUACCAUCUCUUUCCACUUCUGGAUCAUGAAGGGGUGGAAUUAAAGGGCCUGGGGCCAACCGCUCCAGAAAGAUCCUGGUCUUCUGGGAAGGAGACAGACUAUGGGAUAUCACUUGGGGUUGGGAAAGGGGCCAGAAAAGUGGAUUCCUUGGUAGGCCAAGAGUCCACAUGAUUUCUGGGGUGGCCCAAUCUGGGUGUGACCUCCGGCAGGGCCUGGGGAAGACCGGAGGAGUCCAGCAGGGGCCCAUGGCACCGGGGACAUGCCCACCUCAACCGCCCUGACAGGCACCUCGGCUCCCCCACGAGCCACCUGCCAGUGUUGGUUCUCCCUGCUCCCCAGGGCAUCUUACCAAGGCGAAGGACCCCAUACAAGGCCACAUUCUGUCUUAUGUCAAACAAGGAAGGUGAAGGCGACUUGUUCGCCAGGUUCAGAACGGAUCCAAGAUAGAGGUAGUCACCUGGGGGCACAAGUGUGUGGCAUCUGCUGGCACAGGGCCGAAAGAGAGCCCCGCGGGGAGAAGGCUCCCAGCAGAGGGUGGUAGUUAGCCACAGGAGGGCCGUGGCCAGGGCACCGCUCCUCAGCCUGGGAGCAGGUGCUGGACAGGGGUCUCACCAAUGUAAUCUUUCAAGGCCACCGUCUCGCACUUCCUUAGAAAGCCGGAGACCACGAGCUCCUCAAACAGAGAGUCCACGGACCUGCAGAGGACAGUGCAGAGGGGUCCCCAAGGACGAAGGGAAGUGGAGACGGAGAUGAGUGACAGGCUUGAGGACAAAAAUACCCAGAGUGCCACUGGACAGCCAGCAUCAGAAGCCACAGUGCCAACCCGCUGGCCAGAACGCCAUCUGCCCACGGUGGGGCUCCGUGGGUUGAGCAGGGCGUGAGGAGGACACGCGCCCUCUGCAGCCCUCCCUCCAUCAGUCUGCUCAGGUCCCCAGGUCCCGCCAUCAGAAAUCCAGUCAUUUGGCCAACAUAUGACCAUUUUUCUAGAAAUCACACUUGACGUCUAGGCUCCUGGAAGCAGCUGACAUCAGUGUGCUCGAGACUCACUUCACCAAAGAAGUGAGUAGCCGGGGAGCUCCCCAAGGGCCCAGAGAGGUGUCGGGGGGAGAUGGCUUUGGUAGGGACAGAGCUGAUUAAGGCAAAAGGCUGGAGCGGGGGACGCCUGGGUGUCUCAGUUGGUUAAGCAGCUGCCUUCGGCUCAGGUCAUGAUCCCGGCGUCCUGGGAUCGAGUCCCACAUCGUGCUCCUUGCUCAGCAGGGAGUCUGCUUCUGCCUCUGCCUGCCAUUCUGUCUGCCUGCGCUCGCUCUCCCUCUUUCUCUCUGAUAAAUAAAUAAAAUCUUAAAAAAAAAAAAAAAAAGGCUGGAGGGGGGAGCAGGAGGGAGGGAGCCCCAAGGACAAGCCUCCACUCGCAUCCACCUGCCCACCAUCAUUUUCCAAGCACUGCUCUGUUUCAUCACCAGCUAUCUCGUGGGCUUGGCAGGGCGGGUGCUCGGUUAACGAGGACAGGGAGUCAGAGAGGUUCAGUGACUCUCUCCGGGUCACACAGAACAGAACGAGGACCGGAAGUCAGAUCAGUUCUGGGCCCGGGUUUGCUCCACCUCCCACGAUAAGGUAAAGGGUCUGCUACCUGUCUGGGGUCAGAUCUUUUUCCUUCUUCUUCUUCCCGGCUUUCUUCCCAGUCUUUUUCUGGUUGGAAACAAGCACACGGGCUGUCGUCCUCUGGUCCUUGCCUCCCCCCGCUGUGUGCGCGUCCGGGUCCCGGCCUUCACCCCUCAUCUUGCCUUCGCACGCUUCAAGGGUGUCCCCUCCUCCCUGUCCACGACCAGGCGCAGGCUCUUCAGCUCUUGGCGCAUCAGCUCGUCCACCUGGGGGGACAGCAGAGAGUGCUGUCCCUGUCCCUGCACCGGUCCACUCCCAAUACUAAUCCAUACCCCGGUCACGCAGGAGCCUUGCCCUCACCUGGCACCAAUGUGGGGAGAAGCUCCUAGCUAGAGUCAAUGGCUUUCAGCUCAAGCCCCAGACCCACCCUUUAAAGUCUGUGCCAUGUGAGCUGCUGCCGGACUUAAUUAGCCUGUUGUCUCACAUCGGGACAAUCACGGCGCCCACCUCAGGGGGUGGAAAGGCCAUAUUGGAAAGGUCACAUGAUCUAAUUCUUCCUAGGUACACCCUGCGGCCACAGGGCAGGAGCUUUUGAAGGGUUGAUGGGCACAAUGGUGGGUGUGACCCCAGCCCAGAGCCCCUCCGCACCCCAGGGAGAGAGGGACCAGAGAGACGCAGAGGAGGAAGGGGACCGAGAUGGACGAAGGUGGAGUUAGAAUGACACAGAAGGCGGGACAGACGGACAGAAGAAUGAUGUUCAGAGUCCCAGGGCACCCACACACUCACAGAAACCUGGCAGAGGAACCUGACCCAGGCUGGUCCACGUGUCUCUUGCUCCGUCUCUGCACCUGUCUGUCUGUCUCAUACACAUGCCUACAUGGACCAGGAACCUGACCCAGGCUGGUCCCUUCAUCUUCACAGGGCUGUCCAGCAUUGCUUCUACCUAGAUCAUGGAGGCCUGACCCCAAGGCCAAAGGCAAAACUCCCCCCACCCAGGGAAUCGCAUGGCACCCCACGCUUGCGUCCUCCUUUGGCAUUCUUCUCUCGACCUCCACAUCCGCACACCCACACUACCUCUCAUCGUCCACAGAGCAUGUGUUCACUUUCCCCAGGACCCUGGGUCACCCCAAGGCCCUCACAGGGCCUGGACAAUCUUCCCCAGCCUGCUCCUGCCUUACUUAUGUACUCCUCAUGGCCGGCAUUGAUGACAGGUAUAAACUUGGAUGGCCCCACUUUCAGCAUCGUGUCUGCUUCCUAGAAAAGAAACAUCCUUUGACCUCAACCCCCUCAUGGUCCCUGCCCCUUCCUCCCCUCAGACCAGCCUCCCACCGGGAAUCUCCUCAGACCAAGAGGAACUUUACCCCCUUCCUGGUCUUGUCUUUCUUUCCUUUCUUCUGCUUCCUCUCUUUUUUCUCCUUAUUUUUCUCUUGGUCCUUUCUUUUGCUCUCCUGGAUCUCUGUCUCCAGUUCCAUUUUUACCUGUGACCAAUGAUGGAAGACAUUUCAGAGAAGACCAGUGGGAUUCUACAGGAGCAAAAGAACCCAGGUCUGAGAUGGGGGUUGACGGGGGUCACUCGCGGGGUCCAGGGGUCGAGGGAUCCAUAGC